rnacentral:rRNA from 1 species
GAUGAACGCUGACAGAAUGCUUAACACAUGCAAGUCUUUGGCGAAGCUGUGCUUGCACAGCCUAGCCAAGGCGGACGGGUGAGUAACGCGUAAGGAACUUGCCCUGCAGUCAGGGAUAACAGACGGAAACGACUGAUAAGACCUGGUAAAGUCAGGCGGACUCAUGUCCAGCCUGAUGAAAAGAGAUGCUGCAGGAGAGCCUUGCGUCCUAUUAGCUUGUUGGUGGGGUAACGGCCCACCAAGGCGAUGAUAGGUAGCCGGCCUGAGAGGGUGGACGGCCACAAGGGGACUGAGAUACGGCCCUUACUCCUACGGGAGGCAGCAGUGGGGAAUAUUCGACAAUGGGGGCAACCCUGAUCCAGCAAUUCUGUGUGCACGAUGAAGGUUUUCGGAGUGUAAAGUGCUUUCAGCAGGGAAGAAAAAAAUGACGGUACCUGCAGAAGAAGCGACGGCUAAAUACGUG